UGGGGAAUUUUGGACAAUGGGCGCAAGCCUGAUCCAGCCAUGCCGCGUGCAGGAUGAAGGCCUUCGGGUUGUAAACUGCUUUUGUACGGAACGAAAAGGUGCCUUCUAAUAAAGGGCGCUCAUGACGUUACCGUAAGAAUAAGCACCGGCUAACUACGUGCCAGCAGCCGCGGUAAUACGUAGGGUGCGAGCGUUAAUCGGAAUUACUGGGCGUAAAGCGUGCGCAGGCGGUUUUGUAAGACAGAUGUGAAAUCCCCGGGCUUAACCGGGGAACUGCGUUUGUGACUGCAAGGCUGGAGUACGGCAGAGGGGGGUGGAAUUCCACGUGUAGCAGUGAAAUGCGUAGAGAUGUGGAGGAACACCGAUGGCGAAGGCAGCCCCCUGGGCCUGUACUGACGCUCAUGCACGAAAGCGUGGGGAGCAAACA
rnacentral:rRNA from 1 species